GCUCGUUUAGCUCAGUUGGUAGAGCACAAGGCUCUUAACUUUAAGGUUGAGGGUUCGAGCCCCAUCGUGUGCG
rfam:Zea mays cultivar B73 chromosome 5, whole genome shotgun sequence.